GCCGGCUCUGUCCGAUACCGGGGGUGGACUCCCUGGACUCAAGACUGUGCCCUCUGGAGCCAAACCCUUGGUUCUAGAAGGCCCGGGGAAGCGGCUGCUAGAAGACCCAAUUCUUCAUAUUCACUGGGCAUCACUGGACCUAUUAAGGGCUGUGUUCGGGGAGGCCCUACUACGCGAAUGAAUGGGGCAUUGGAAGUGUCCACGUUAAAAUCUUACAAACUCAUGAGCAUUUUGAAGAGCUUAUAAGCUCUCCUAGAAGAGCCAGAGGAGAGACAGAAAGAGAGACUGAGAGAGAGAGAGAGACAGAGAGAGACCGCAGUGUGUGGUCUGGGCACACCUGUAUUUGCUGACCAGCUAGGUGACUUCCAGAGAGGAGGUGGGGCUCUGACUCACUUCAUGGACUCAUACAAUUAUUGACGGGCAGGACUUCACAGGGUCUGGAGAUAACUGAGGGAAACUCUGUCCUUGUUCCAUUCAGUGAUUCAACAGAUAUAUGUUGAGCAUCUGCUAUGGAUUAAGCUCUGGGAAUUCAGCACCCCCUGGGUUGGAACCUACAGCACAGUAAAGGGAAAGUCAAGAAAUCAAGGUCCCAAGCACAAAGUGAUAUCCUUCCACGUGGGUCAGUGCUAAGAUUCAGGCAAAUGAAGAGGGGGAUAGUGAUCUGGUGAGGAGAUCUUCAUUUUCUGCGGAGUGUCAGCCCAGAAGGUACAGUGGGUCCAGGAGGGUUGGCUCCAUGUUGUGAAUGUGGGAAGGGCCCUUAGUGAGGCGGGGUGAGGAGGAAGGAUGUUAGUGGUAGGGGGGUCCUGGUAGGCAGAAGAAUGCUCCCCCUGAGGUGUCCAUUUUCUAUAUCUUUGGAAUUUGUGAAUGUUU
rnacentral:lncRNA from 1 species